rnacentral:rRNA from 1 species
UACGUAGGUGGCAAGCGUUAUCCGGAAUUAUUGGGCGUAAAGGGUGCGUAGGCGGUCUAAUAAGUCAGUCGUGAAAUCGCUGGGCUCAACCCAUGCAAUUGCGAUUGAUACUGUUAGACUUGAAUGGGGUUGAGGCUGGCGGAAUGCGGCAUGUAGCGGUGAAAUGCUUAGAUAUGUCGCAGAACACCGAUUGCGAAGGCAGCCAGCUGGGCCUUUAUUGACGCUGAGGCACGAAAGCGUGGGGAGCAAACAGGAUUAGAUACCCUAGUAGU